CUACGGGGUGCUGCAGUGGGGAAUAUUGCACAAUGGGCGCAAGCCUGAUGCAGCAACGCCGCGUGAGGGAUGAAGGCCUUCGGGUUGUAAACCUCUUUUAGCAGGGAAGAAGCGAAAGUGACGGUACCUGCAGAAAAAGCACCGGCUAACUACGUGCCAGCAGCCGCGGGAAUACGUAGGGUGCAAGCGUUGUCCGGAAUUAUUGGGCGUAAAGAGCUCGUAGGCGGUUUGUCACGUCUGCUGUGAAAAUCCAAGGCUCAACCUUGGACUUGCAGUGGGUACGGGCAGGCUAGAGUGCGGUAGGGGAGAUGGGAAUUCCUGGUGUAGCGGUGGAAUGCGCAGAUAUCAGGAGGAACACCAAUGGCGAAGGCACAUCUCUGGGCCGUAACUGACGCUGAGGAGCGAAAGCGUGGGGAGCGAACAGGAUUAGAUACCCGCGUAGUC
rnacentral:rRNA from 1 species